CACGUAGGGGGCGAGCGUUGUCCGGAUUUAUUGGGCGUAAAGAGCUCGUAGGUGGUUUGUUACGUCUGCUGUGAAAACCUAGGGCUUAACCCUGGGCUUGCAGUGGAUACGGGCAGACUAGAGGUAGGUAGGGGAGAAUGGAAUUCCUGGUGUAGCGGUGAAAUGCGCAGAUAUCAGGAGGAACACCGGUGGCGAAGGCGGUUCUCUGGGCCUUACCUGACACUGAGGAGCGAAAGCGUGGGGAGCGAACAGG
rnacentral:rRNA from 1 species